rnacentral:tRNA from 1 species
UCCCUGGUGGCUCAGAUGGUAAAAGCAUCUGCCUACAAUGCAGGAGACCCAGGUUCGAUCCCUGGGUUGGGAA